ensembl:lncRNA
GGGGGCGCUGCGAGGCGGAGCGGGCGGCCCGGGGGUCUCCCCCGCCCGAAUCCGCUCCUGCGAGGAGCGCGAGGUCGGGCCGCGGUGUGAGAUGCUGCCCCUCUUUGCCUCUCCGCGCUCCUGGGCAGCGGUUCGCAGCUCUGUUUCUGCCGCUCUUGGCGCUUAAGUAAUCAAACUCUGCUCGGCUCCCCGAGUGAAAGGAGACAGAUCCCCCAUGCGCGCCGUGAGCGGCUCCGACAGCGCUGGGGAUUUAUCUCUGUUUAAGCCUGUCUCCCCCCGCUUCGAGCCGCGAGGGGAUCGUUUAUGGAGCUUAGUAAAGCGCGGUGAGAGCGGCCGGGCCGUUAACUGGUUGGCCCAGCAGCGGAGAGCGGAGCGCCGCCUGGGAGGUGCUUCACGGCCCGGGAACGGCUCCCUGAGCCCCUUUUUCCCAGGGUCGAGUGGGGCUCUCUCUGUAGAACAACUCCUGACCCAGAAAUACUCGUUGGUUGGUCUCUUGGCUUUAGCCCGUGAGCAGGAUCGGACGUGGAUCGUUUCCCGAGAAUUUUCGCAUUUACGGUCUCAAUUUUAAAACAUCGUUUGGAGGUCGGCGAUGGAAGCAGCGGUAACCUUUAACGCCGCGGGGAAUGGGAACGCGGCAGCGCGAGUUGCCGCCGGAGGACAUCGGGACCCACCCUUCCAGCGGCAGGUAACCGCUCCGCGCGGCGCUUUUAUCACUGCAGCUUCGGGGGAGCGAUUCUCACCGGGGCCGCGGCGCGGGGGUGCGAGUGCUGCCGGCCGGGCGGGGGGCGCCACGGGAGCGCAGCCACACGCGGCCCCGCGGAGCUGUCACACGCGUGCUCUGGGGGGCUAAGCCUUCCCCCCGCCCGGUCGACAGCGGUGAGUACUUCGGGAGGAGGGGGGCAGGAUCCCGCGCUUGGUGAGAGUCUAUCGGGGGAGGCUGCGGGCUCCUAUCUGCGCCGGGUGCCGGGGUGCGCCUGGCCGCGGCAGGCACGGCCGCGUCC